CAAAUAAAGAGAAAGCUAAUAGAAAAUCCUAGUUACUAAUUUUGCUAGCACGGUAACUGUAUCUUCUGUUCCAGGAGGACUCCAGCAAAUAACAUGUAAAAUUACUCAAAAUUAGAUGUCACCCAGUGAGUACACUAUUAAUUUACAUGUCAUUGGAUUUUAUACCCUUUGCAUUCAUCUCAAGUUUUCAAGGGGCAUGACUGUAGACAUCCCAGUUUGAUGACACC